UAAUGCCAUAUACUUUUGAUACGAGGAAAUAUUAUAUAUCACAAAAGAUUUAGUCGAGAAAAUCUGCUUAUCAGCGGACCCUCGACUAAGAAUAAUAAAUGGUAACACCUUUUCGUUUGCCUUUCUCUCUUUGUUGAGCCAAGCCUAGUUUUCAACAACAGCGGACAAAGAGCUCAAUCAUAGCGUCAGAGACCUAGCGAAGCUAAGAUGUAUUGCAAACAACUGCAGUAGAGUUAAUAGGAAAUGGGAUUUUUAUAAUUUUUUCCUAUUCAUCAUACAUGGAUACCACAUCAGUUAAGUUGGAACCUACAAACAGCUGUUGUGGGGAGGCAACGUUCUGCCAGGUGAUCAAAAGCCAUCAUGAUGAGGUCUUCAUCAUCUCAUCAUGGCUGGUCCCCACAACAGCUGUUAGCCACACUUAGAGACUCUCAAGCCAGGGAAAGGGAAUCAUGGAGACAUCAAUUACUCUCCGAAUCUGCCAACAAGCUAAUAGAAGUUGGACCAACAGAACGCGAUUUCACUGUUACAUGGAUGUCACAAUUGAAUUCUCGAUUCAAUUUCUAUCCUGAAACCUUUUUCCUGGCUGUCCAUACUUUGGAUCGGUUCCUCACUGCGGUGAAGAGUCGACCCAAAUAUCUAAAAUGCAUUGCUGUCACUUGUUUUUAUGUAGCAAGCAAAUUGGUUGAGGAAGAAGAGUUCAUACCAGGGACUGGAGAACUUGUUGAAGCCAGUGAAAGUGGUUGUCGAGCAAAAGACGUUCUCAGAAUGGAACGAAUAAUACUUACGAAACUUGAGUGGGACUUACACACUCCAACUCCUCUUACAUACUUGGAAAUCUUCCAUGCUCUGGCUUUCUCCAAUCAGUCAAAGAAACCUUUAACAGUCCAUCAAAUGAAGGAUUGUUCCAAGUCUGAGAAAUCUUCAUUUCUUGCGCGACAUUUGAACCAGUUGACAAGGGAAUUGCAACAUGUCAUAUGCAAUUAUUCUUUGGCCAUAUUUCCAAGCGCUUCCAUCGCUUUGGCUCUCGUCUCACUGGAGAUAGAGAAUUUAACUGCGGAUCCUAGCCGCUGGCUCAUAAUUACAAGCCAGAUUCAAGCUUUUGCUAAGGUCAAAACGAAUGAUUUGAUGAGUUGUCGCUCUGUGAUCUUCAACCUCUUGCCAAAAAAGAUCUGCAGUUCUACGGCCCGCAAUCCGAUAUAUUACAUGGUGUCAUAUACCGGCAAUCCGGACCAAAAAUUGUAUGAUAUACCUGCAGCUGAGCAUACGAUAAAUAAAGAUAUCAUUCCUCUUGUUUAUCAAGGAGCAGCUACAAAACGAAAGGCAAAUGACAUCAAUCCUCAUGUUCCAGUAUCCGAUUUCGUCAAAAAAGUCCACACAAACUAUUCACAAAAUUGUAACAUUGGUGACAAAAUUGUGCAAGUGUGUGACCAUAAUAUCGAACAGUCACCAAAUAUUCAAAGUGUCGUUGAAGCUCACAAGCUGCCUUAUCUUGCCUCUGGGCCGACAACAAUUACAAUAUCUCAGGGAGAACGACAAGAAAUGCAUGGUGAUAACACUGUGACUAACUAUGUCCAUGCAAUGCCUCACAAUUCCAUUAACAAUAAUUCUUGUGUGCUCAAGUCACAGAAAUCCCAAAUUGAUUAUGAGCCUUUUGUUGGAAAUCUGUUGAAUGACAGCGAAAUUUCUCAAGACAGUGACUGGAACAGCUCCACUCAAGAUGAAAAUGAUGAAAUGGAUUCAGAUGGAUAUGACAGUGACAAGACACUGACAGCGUCUGAAGGCGAAGAUGAGGAAUAUACAGAAAGAAAAAAAAACAUGAAGCAAUGAGAAUGAGACCGCUAACUUAUGCCGAAAUUGUCAAGUGUGGUAUUCUUGAAACUGUUGCGCUGUCUGUAUGAACAAGACCUAACUUGUUACUUCAUCAGCAUGAAUCUGAAACACAAUUAAACUGUGGAGACUAUUCUCCAAUCAACGAACAGGACUCUUUGUUAUAUAUGAAGUUCUCAACACGAUUCUGAGGAGCACAAAAUUUUUUUAUUGUCUUUAUUAGUCUCUUUGAUGCUAUUUUUAUAUCUUAGAAUGAUUUUCUGGCUUUCAUUUUUCAAGCUUGUAUAUUAUCGAUAAAUAUUAUCAAAUAUAUAUUGAAACCUUAUUUUUGUAUCACAACAUUACCAUAUAACCGCUUUAUUUUCCGUUUGUUUUCAUCUUAUACUGAUGAAAACCUCUAAUUAUUAUUACAUGGAAUAGAUACUUCAUCAUUAAAGAAAUAGUAUAUUUUUUGUCGAUGGUUUGUUCUGAAAUUCAUAACAAGUAUUUUUGCAGAAAUAUCACUAUUGCAUUUAGUCUUUCUCAGUAUGUCUUGCUUGGUGGAAUACUCAUAUUUUUGAAGUCUCAACAUUAUUGCAGGGUUUUUCUUCGAAAACAACCCCCUUUUCAAUGGUUGACCUCUCCAAUCGAGUAUCAGAAGUCCACAAUUCUUUUGCAGCUCUUGUUUGAUAUUUCUACUCUAAUGUGAUGUAUGCAAAUCACAUCAAUUUUAAUUUUCCCGUUGUCUCAUUCUCAUAUCAAAAAAUAGGGAAAUGUUGAAUCGAAUAGACUAUUGCCACAUUCCUAUUCUUUACUGCAUCAAUAUAUCAUGGCAAUAUAUUAAAAGAUAAGAAAAAAUUGAUGAUGAAAUACUGUAUUGGGCCACUAUUCUGGAGACAAUACAUCUCUUACAUUAUAGAACAAAACUUUUUUGUUUUGGUUGUCUUGGUUACAAAACUACAUUGGGGCUUUCAUAAUUAAAUGUUUAAAAUUGAAUGAUGAUUUGUAUUUUUAUUGUGUAAUUCUUCAUUAAAGAAUUUAGCUGUUCAUAAAAAGCUGGUUUCACCUUUGACAGUUUUGAAAUUAAUUUUUUUGAUUCAAGGAUCAAUAGAUAUUUAUUGUCACAUAGUCAAAUUCUCAUUGUUCCUUGUUUGGUUGUGUAUUUCAACUUUCUGGGUACAUUCAUUGUAUUGCACGAUUAAUAACAAGUCACUAUGUUUGGUAAUCUUGGUCUAAGUGUCAUAUAUAUAAAAUAUAUACUUCGUUGGUGUUUUUGUGACAUCGGUUUUUCAAACCGUCAAGUUUCACAUUAUUUUUCACAUGUCCAGCUUUUGUUUUCUUAUUUGAAAGAUUGAUCUGUUUUAGUUGAGUUUUCAAUAGCUUUGGUAUUUUGUGGUCUUUUCAUUGUGUUUUCAUGUAUGUUCUUUUUUUCUAUCUCACUGCACUCUGCAUGAUGUGAAUUUUAGCAGUUCACCACUAUUUUCCCAAUUAUUUAUAUAGACUUGUAAAAGUACAGUGAGGUAUGGUAAAUCUUAUUGCCGUUAUAUGAAGCUGAAUCUUUAUUGUUUAACAGAUGUGUAAACACAAAGAUUUGAAAUUGGGAAUCAAAUUUUCACCGAAUUUAAUAAUGUGCACAUUAAAUAGACACAAAAUGAGCUGGCCGCUGUUAGCUUAUUCUACAGUAGUUCUUAUAAUUAUUGGUUCCAACAUGUCUUGUCAAGAAAUUUUCAGCUAUUUUUUAUGCAACCAUAUUAUACAUUUGGGGGUUGUAUGUAUCUUGCAAACAGUAUUAAAAUACUCUGAAAAGGAGAUGUGUAUAUAUUCAACUGUCCAUAUAUUAACUAAAUAUAUAUAUAUAUAUUGUGUAUAUGUGUAAUAUAUGAUAUUAUUAAAUAUAAUCAUUUAGAAAUGGGUGCAUAAACCAGUAUGAAAUUGCCCUAUUUUUCUAAAAGCAUAGUGUUUACAAUUAAACAGCUGGCUUAUAAUUGUAAAAAGUGUUUGGGUCCGGAUGUCCAUGGUUCAAUAGUGGAAACCAAUUCGAUUGUUACUCUGAUACCCUAUUGUUGCUUUCAAGAUUUUAGUUUAAGUUUCCCGACCAAUAUUUUUCAAGUCUAUUAUUCUUUUUCGAAAUAGAGCCAUUGUGUUAUUGGGGCGUACAAUUCUGUCAACUAGAUGUAUUACACAUUCUUAUGAACGUUUUUGAUUUCUUUUCAAUAUUUUAUAAUUUGCUAGUUGUCUUUUGGUAUUCACUUAAUUUCGUUGAAAAAUAUAUGUCUUCACUUUCA